UACCCAAACUCAGCAACAAAAAGAUUAUACACAAAACCUAAAAUUUGUCCUAGUCUCUGUGCAGAGACUGUCUUAUUACAUAUAAUAUGUGUGAUAUCCAACAAACUAGCAAAUAUUUACCAUACAACAACGCAACACUGAACACAUAAUAUGACAUCCAUUGCCGUGAAUAAAUUAUGUCCUGCCACCCUCUUGACCUCUUGUGACAUCUUGGCCCCUUACAGUCUGGCCCAACUCUCUAGCCUUCUGGCCCGUCGUCUCCUGCAAGCGCCUCUUUGCCUGUUCCAUCUGCUGCGGCAGUUUUCCCCUCAUCUCCCUAAUAUAGUUUGCCAUCCACGACAAGGAAGAAAGUGCAGUGAUCCCAAAAGCUCCAGAUGCCAAGAACCCCACCACCGCUAAGCCAAUGACCAAGGCUACAGGGACCAGAACCGGGCUGCAAACCACGAAAACUGGGGUCGUAAUCGCCAGCCCAAUGAGUGUCCCAGUGAGAGUAGUACCUGCAAGGAAGAGGAGGGUGCCACUGAGUGGCAACAGGGUGACCACCGCUAUAAUCUGCGAAGUUGAAGGGCCGCCACCCUUUUCAGGGAAAACGCCGUUGAAGCCUUCCAUGCCAGGCCUUUGCUGUUGGUGUUUAGGGUCAGCCAUGGAAGCUUAGUUAAUUAAAGCUAUUGUAAGCUUUCUGGGAAAGUAUAGAAAGAAGAAAAGUAGGUUGGAGAAUUG
rnacentral:misc_RNA from 1 species